rnacentral:lncRNA from 1 species
UCAGGAUGAGUAGAAUGCAUUUCAUAAUGGCGUACCAUUUUAGAUUUCGUUCAGCUUUUGGCAUAACCCUAUGCCGAUUUCGGGGAGCUUUACCAUGUUCAGCUCUACAACACUAGAAGAUCUAUUUGAGCAAUGGUGUACCAUACGCCAGGUUGGGCAUAUGGUACGCCCAAAGGAUGUUUUUGGGUAAAGCAAACAUUAAAGAAAGAAUGAUCGUGGUUCAAGUCUAGUUUUUCCAAGUUCAGAUGCCAAAUCAUUCUAUUGGUGCGUGGACGCAAAUUUUACAAAAUUUAUUAAGAGAAGUCCUAGCGAUCAGGAUGAAUGGAGAGCUUACGAGGACUGGAUGAUGAUGAUUUAUAUAUGAUAAGAGGUAAGUUUUGGCGGAUCAAUUACUUGGAUCUUAAGGACGAAUAGGAGCUUUUUGUUACUUUUUAUCAUUUUAAAUGAUAACUUUAUUCUGAUUAUAUUGUUAUUUUGAGUUUGGGCAUAUGUUAAAUUACGAUAUAAGAUAUCUAUUAUAUUGUGUUGGU